rnacentral:lncRNA from 1 species
UUUUUAACUUUUAUCUUAAUAUACAUGAAGUACCUAUUUGCCCGUUAUGUCCGUUCGUCUAUGGUGAUGUCAAAGAUAUAAAAGUCCUUUAGUAAAGAACAUAAUUUGUACCAAUCGUCACAACUCGGCCGAUUCCGUACCUCAUCUAACAUAGAAAUAGAGUAGCGGAUUCACCCGGGGAUUGCCGAUUGAUACAAGAAUCAUUCGUCACAACUCGGCCG